rnacentral:ncRNA from 1 species
AUAUAUGUUUGUAUCAUAUCUGAACAGAGCCAAGCCAGAGGGUUGUUGUCCCGCAAUGGUGAGCUACUUUCAAAAACUUGUCCUUAGUUUGAAUUGCAAGUUGCAAUUCGCUUGCAUGAAGCUGGAAUCACUAGUAAUCACUAAUCAACCAUACAAUAGUGAAUUCAUU